GCCUUUUCUGGGGCCGCUGCCGCAGCACAUGGAGGUUCCCAGGCUAGGGGUCCAAUCAGAGCUGUAGCCACUGGCCUACACCAGAGCCACAGCAACGCGGGAUCCGAGCCGGGUCUGCGACCUGCACCAUAGCUCAUGGCAAUGCCAGAUCCUUCGCCCACUGGGCAAGGCCAGGGAUUGAACCAGCAACCUCAUGGUUCCUAGUUGGAUUCAUUAACCACUGAGCCAUGACAGGAACUCCAGAGCUUGAUUCUUUAUGAGUCAAACAAGGAUCCAAUCAGCACCAGCCGCAAUGCCAUCCAGUGUCCAUUUCUUGGUGGUGAGAGACCAUAUCCAUGGACUGUGAAAGGGAGUGUUUCCUGAAAGAGUAGACUCCCUCUGGGCCAAACUGGAUGACCGCCCCCGCCACUACCCGAGCUUGGGGAGGGCUGUAAUGAGUGCAGCAAAUGUGUGCUUGGCCUAAGGUAAGGGAUCUUCAGGGUUUGUGCGAUGGCCACUUCAGAACAGGGCGCCGAGGGUGAGAUGAGGGCUCUGUGAUGCUCCCUCACGUGAAAUUCAGAUGUGUGUCUGAGUGGCCCCUUGCUGCCCCCAUCUUUCUUUAGGCUCUCAAGAGUGAUUCCUAGCACAGUGGCUGUCCACCCGGCCAUUUUUUUGCCUGCCAUAACAGAAUGGUGUUAGAUAUCAGAGGAGUUUGUUAAUUGUUGCUCUUACACUUUGCCCUCAGUGUCAAAUGAGGUCACCCAAUUUCCUCUCUGCACAUUUACAAGAAGCAGCAUAAAACUCAAGCAAAAUAGCCAGGAGACACAGAGAAAGAUGGCUGAUGAGAUAAUGAGACCUGUUUAUUACAGUAGAGGAGAAAAUGUCCCAUGAAGGUGAAAUAUCCAUCCAGCUUUCCUGAAGAGUCACUAGGAGUUUUUGUUGUGGCCCCAAUCACAGUGCGAACAGUCUGCUAACAAAAUUGUCUUUGGAAAAGGGACUCAGCUUCAUGUUCUUCCCAAUACUGAUUUCCAUUGAGUUAAAGUGGUUUUGGUGUUGGGUGGGAAAUUUUUCUCAGGCUCUAAAGCAUGUGGGUAGCUUCUAGGUCCUGAAUGCUUUCCCCUCUAGAGCAGGGAAAGUUGCUGCCAGUGUUUUGCUGCUUAAAUAUCACCUAUCUUGGAGUUCCCUGGUGGCUCAGCAGGUUAAGGGAUCCAGAAUUGUCACUGCUGUGGCAUGGGUUUGAUCCCUGGCCUGGGAACUUCUGCAUGCCAUAGGUGAGGAAAAAAAAAAUCAGUUUUCUUUCUCCUUGUUUAUAUAUUAUGAAGAGUAAAAAAUUGGGAAACUUUGUCAAGAGUUCAUCUUCAAAUCUCCCCCCAGGCUUGUCCCCAGUGGAGUUUGUUUGGACACAUUAAACCCAGUAUGAUUUCUGGCUCCAACCAAAGUGGUUUUGGAAAUAAUUCCAGACUACCUAUGACAAACAUCCUUCCACUCUUCAUAAAAGACCCACUUUCUCUGUUUGGCCUCGGCUGAGAUUCCUGGCUCUGGUGCUCCAUGCGUCUGCACUUCCCUUGUUCCAUGGAUGGGCGGGAGGUAACUUUUUUAAGAGUUCUUUUAAUGCCAGAGGCAACAAAGAUGGUAU
rnacentral:lncRNA from 1 species